AUAAUACUCCAUAGAUUAGAGACACUGGAAUGUUCUUUAGUCGAAAGUUCUGGCGCCUUAGGAUGGAUCUGCGGUCGAUUAGGUUGUUGUUGGGGUAACGGCCCAACAAGCCUGUAAUCGAUACGGGUUGUGGGAGCAAGAGCCCGGAGAUGGAAUCUGAGACACGAUUCCAGGCCCUACGGGGCGCAGCAGGCGCGAAAACUUUACAAUGCAGGAAACUGUGAUAAGGGAACUCCGAGUGCCCGUAUACGCGGGCUGUCCAGGUGUUUAAAAAUCAUCUGAAGAAAGGGCCGGGCAAGACCGGUGCCAGCCGCCGCGGUAAUACCGGCGGCUCGAGUGGUGGCCACUAUUAUUGGGCUUAAAGCGUCCGUAGCUGGACCGAUAAGUCUCUUGGAAAUCCGCCGGCUCAACCGGCGGGCGUCUAAGGGAUACUGUUAGUCUAGGGACCGGGAGAGGUGAGAGGUACUCCGGGGGUAGGAGUGAAAUCCUGUAAUCCCCGGGGGACCACCGAUGGCGAAGGCAUCUCACCAGAACGGCUCCUACAGUGAGGGACGAAAGCUGGGGGAGCGAACCGGAUUAGAUACCCGGGUAGUCCCAGCCGUAAACUAUGCGCGUUAGGUGU
rnacentral:rRNA from 1 species